CGAGGCCGAAAGGCGUAGUCGAUGCACAUACGGUUGAAAUUCCGUAGCCACCGAACCUUAAGUACACUGACACAUGGAGAUAGCGGGACCCGGGCGUUGGUUGACCCGGGCGUAAGGGACCGAACUUUAGUAGGGAAGUCCGCGAUGCUCUGUGGCGAGAAAAGGUGUAUGGUAUGCUAAGGUGCCCGUACCGCAAACCGACACAGGUAGAUGAGGAGAGAAUCCUAAGGCCAACGGGAGAAGGGUUGUUAAGGAACUCGGCAAAAUGACCCCGUAACUUCGGGAUAAGGGGAGCCUCCUACGGGAGGCCGCAGCGAAUAGGCCCAAGCGACUGUUUACCAAAAACACAGGUCUCUGCUAAAUCGAAAGAUGACGUAUAGGGGCUGACGCCUGCCCGGUGCUGGAAGGUUAAGAGGAGAUGUUAGCCGCAAGGCGAAGCAUUGAAUCGAAGCCCCAGUAAACGGCGGCCGUAACUAUAACGGUCCUAAGGUAGCGAAAUUCCUUGUCAGGUAAGUUCUGACCCGCACGAAUGGCGUAACGACUUGGGCGCUGUCUCAACAGCCCACCCGGCGAAAUUGUUGUACUGGUGAAGAAGCCAGUUACCCGCAACUAGACGGAAAGACCCCAUGGAGCUUUACUGUAGCUUAAUACUGGAAAUCGGUAAAUCAUGUACAGGAUAGGUGGGAGACUUGGAAGCCAGGGCGUCAGCUUUGGUGGAGUCACCCUUGGGAUACCACCCUUGAUUUGCUGGUUUUCUAACCUGCGGCCGUGAAUCCGGUCGGGGGACACUGUUAGGUGGGCAGUUUGACUGGGGCGGUCGCCUCCUAAAAGGUAACGGAGGCGCUCAAAGGUUCGUUCAGCACGGACGGAAACCGUGCAGUGAGUGUAAACGCAUAAACGAGCCUAACUGCGAGACCGACGGGUCGAGCAGUAACGAAAGUUGGAGUUAGUGAUCCGGCGGUAUGCAAGUGGAAGUGCCGUCGCUCAACGGAUAAAAGCUACCCUGGGGAUAACAGGCUGAUCUCCCCCAAGAGUCCACAUCGACGGGGAGGUUUGGCACCUCGAUGUCGGCUCAUCGCAUCCUGGGGCUGUAGUAGGUCCCAAGGGUUGGGCUGUUCGCCCAUUAAAGCGGUACGCGAGCUGGGUUCAGAACGUCGUGAGACAGUUCGGUCCCUAUCUGUUGCGGGCGUAAGAGAUUUGAAGGGAGCUGUCCUUAGUACGAGAGGACCGGGAUGGACGUACCUCUGGUGCACCAGUUGUCCUGCCAAGGGCAUAGCUGGGUAGCUAUGUACGGACGAGAUAAACGCUGAAGGCAUCUAAGCGUGAAACUCCCCCUAAGAUUAGAUCUCUCAUUCGAAAGAAGUAAGGCACGACGUAGACUAUGUCGUUGAUAGGCCGGAGGUGGAAGCACGGUAACGUGUGCAGCUGACCGGUACUAAUAAGCCGAGGGCUUGACCU
rnacentral:rRNA from 1 species